rnacentral:rRNA from 1 species
AUUGAACGCUGGCGGCAGGCCUAACACAUGCAAGUCGAGCGGAUGAUGGGAGCUUGCUCCUUGAUUCAGCGGCGGACGGGUGAGUAAUGCCUAGGAAUCUGCCUGGUAGUGGGGGACAACGUUUCGAAAGGAACGCUAAUACCGCAUACGUCCUACGGGAGAAAGCAGGGGACCUUCGGGCCUUGCGCUAUCAGAUGAGCCUAGGUCGGAUUAGCUUGUUGGUGAGGUAAUGGCUCACCAAGGCGAGGAUCCGUAACUGGUCUGAGAGGAUGAUCAGUCACACUGGAACAGAGACACGUUCCAGAAUCCUGCGGGAGGCAGCAGUGGGGAAUAUUGGACAAUGGGCGAAAGCCUGAUCCAGCCAUGCCGCGUGUGUGAAGAAGGUCUUCGGAUUGUAAAGCACUUUAAGUUGGGAGGAAGGGUUGUAGAUUAAUACUCUGCAAUUUUGACGUUACCGACAGAAUAAGCACCGGCUAACUCUGUGCCAGCCGCCGCGGUAAUAC